rnacentral:rRNA from 1 species
GGAUUCUCCAGUAACGGCGAGUGAACGGAGAUUAGCCCAUCACCGAAGUCCAGUGCUUUUGCAUAUAGGACAAUGUGGUGUUUAAGCUUGUACCUGGGAUUGCGAACCUACCCGAAGUCCAACUCCGAUUGUGGCUUGGAUUGUGCCCAUAGCGGGUGAGAGGCCCGUACGGGUAGGUUCUGUUGUAUGCAGUCCUCAGGUGUACUUGCUUUCCAGUCUAAUUCCUUGACAACGC